GCAGACGUGGCGGAAUGGUAGACGCGCUACCUUGAGGUGGUAGUGGGAGCAAUCCUGUGGAGGUUCAAGUCCUCUCGUCUGCA
rnacentral:tRNA from 1 species